CUACUGGAGGCUGUGCAGCUAGGACAUUUUAAUUAAGAGUGCUUUUUCCUGUGAAAUUUUCACGGUCAUUUAUCUUCCAGGCCACUGCUUUUGAUUUGCUCUGACUCCAGCCCUGGCAGGCCCUAUCAGUGAGGCAGUUUCAAGGGGGAAAAUUGGAUUUGGAUAUUGUAAAUAAGGAAAGGAAGAUAGACAGGGUUGCCAUGCUACUAACUGGAAGAAACUUGAGACUGCUGAAAGGAGGAGGGAGGUGACCUUGCAGAACAGAUAUUGCUUGUGCUGGACUUAUAACUGAGAUUUGCGCUGAAAAUCCAAGUAUCAGGAAUAUUUCAAGUAGAGAAGAUGCUUAUAGGAAUCAC
rnacentral:lncRNA from 1 species